rnacentral:rRNA from 1 species
CACGUAGGGGGCAAGCGUUGUCCGGAAUCAUUGGGCGUAAAGAGCUCGUAGGCGGCUCAAUAAGUCGGGGUGUGAAACCCCCAGGCUCAACCUGGGGACGCCACCCGAUACUGUUGUGGCUAGAGUCCAGUAGGGGAGUGUGGAAUUCCCGGUGUAGCGGUGAAAUGCGCAGAUAUCGGGAGGAACACCAGCGGCGAAGGCGGCACUCUGGGCUGGUACUGACGCUGAGGAGCGAAAGCGUGGGUAGCAAACAGG